rnacentral:rRNA from 1 species
CCUACGGGUGGCAGCAGUGGGGAAUAUUGGACAAUGGGGGGAACCCUGAUCCAGCCAUGCCGCGUGUGUGAAGAAGGCCCUCGGGUUGUAAAGCACUUUCAGUGAGGAAGAACGCCUGGUGGUUAAUACCCAUCAAGAAAGACAUCACUCACAGAAGAAGCACCGGCUAACUCCGUGCCAGCAGCCGCGGUAAUACGGAGGGUGCGAGCGUUAAUCGGAAUUACUGGGCGUAAAGCGCGCGUAGGUGGCUUGAUAAGCCGGUUGUGAAAGCCCCGGGCUCAACCUGGGAACGGCAUCCGGAACUGUCAAGCUAGAGUGCAGGAGAGGAAGGUAGAAUUCCCGGUGUAGCGGUGAAAUGCGUAGAGAUCGGGAGGAAUACCAGUGGCGAAGGCGGCCUUCUGGACUGACACUGACACUGAGGUGCGAAAGCGUGGGUAGCAAACAGGAUUAGAUACCCCAGUAGUC